rnacentral:rRNA from 1 species
CAUCGAGCGGUGAGGAGCGGGAACAGAUAGCGGCGGACGGGUGAGUAUGCUAGGAAUCUGCCUAUUGUGGGGGACAACAUUCCGAAAGGAAUGCUAAUACCGCAUACGCCCUACGGGGGAAAGCAGGGGAUCUUCGGACCUUGCGCCUAAUAGAUGAGCCUAAGUAGAUUAGCUAGUUGGUGGGGUAAGGCCUAACCAAGGCGACGACCUGUAGCGGGUCUGAGAGGAUGAUCCCGCACACUGGGACUGAGACACCGGCCCAGACUCCUACCGGGAGGCAGCAGGGGGGAAAAUUGGACAAAUGGGCGAAUGCUUGAUUCAUGCAGCCGCGCGGGAGAAGAACGGCCCUUCGGUUGUAAAACACUUUAACCGAGGAGGAGGCUACUGAAAUAAUCCUUUGGAAGGGGACGUACCUCGCACAUAAGCACCCGCUACUUUGGCCAGAGCCGCGAAUCAAAGGGUCGACGUAAUUGAUUACUGGCGGAAACCGGCCUAGCGGU